rnacentral:rRNA from 1 species
GAUGAACGCUGGCGGCGUGCCUAACACAUGCAAGUCGAACGAAGCGAUUAAGAUGAAGUUUUCGGAUGGAAUCUUGAUUGACUGAGUGGCGGACGGGUGAGUAACGCGUGGAUAACCUGCCUCACACUGGGGGAUAACAGUUAGAAAUGACUGCUAAUACCGCAUAAGCGCACAGUGCCGCAUGGCAGUGUGUGAAAAACUCCGGUGGUGUGAGAUGGAUCCGCGUCUGAUUAGCCAGUUGGCGGGGUAACGGCCCACCAAAGCGACGAUCAGUAGCCGACCUGAGAGGGUGACCGGCCACAUUGGGACUGAGACACGGCCCAAACUCCUACGGGAGGCAGCAGUGGGGAAUAUUGCACAAUGGGCGAAAGCCUGAUGCAGCGACGCCGCGUGAGUGAAGAAGUAUUUCGGUAUGUAAAGCUCUAUCAGCAGGGAAGAAAAUGACGGUACCUGACUAAGAAGCCCCGGCUAACUACGUG